GUGAGCCAAAAUCGCACCAUUGCACUCAAGCCUGGGCAACAAGAGGGAAACUCCGUCUAAAAAAAAAAAAAAAAAAGAGUAAAGAAAAGUUUAUUGGAUAAGUAGCAUUUUCAAAUCACACAUUAAAAGUUGGUAAUUAAUGAAGGAGCUACUGGGUAGAGAACAGAAGGGAAGAGGUAGUGCCACUUUAAAUUGUGAGGUUGGGGAUAAGUAGCAGCAACCUGGGUUGUCACCAGGUACCAUAAGAUAGGUGGGCUGAGGUGUAAGGAACAUGGAAAGCAGCAAAGAAG